UGGGGAAUAUUGCACAAUGGGCGAAAGCCUGAUGCAGCAACGCCGCGUGAGUGAUGAAGGCCUUCGGGUUGUAAAGCUCUGUCUUUUGGGACGAUAAUGACGGUACCAAAGGAGGAAGCCACGGCUAACUACGUGCCAGCAGCCGCGGUAAUACGUAGGUGGCAAGCGUUGUCCGGAUUUACUGGGCGUAAAGGAUGCGUAGGCGGAUUUUUAAGUGAGAUGUGAAAUACCCGGGCUUAACUUGGGCGCUGCAUUUCAAACUGGGAAUCUAGAGUGCGGGAGAGGAGAAUGGAAUUCCUAGUGUAGCGGUGAAAUGCGUAGAGAUUAGGAAGAACACCAGUGGCGAAGGCGAUUCUCUGGACCGUAACUGACGCUGAGGCAUGAAAGCGUGGGUAGCAAACAGGAUUAGAUACCCUGGUAGUCCACGCCGUAAACGAUGAGUACUAGGUGUAGGAGGUAUCGACCCCUUCUGUGCCGCAGUUAACACAAUAAGUACUCCGCCUGGGAAGUACGAUCGCAAGAUUAAAACUCAAAGGAAUUGACGGGGUCAUAGCUG
rnacentral:rRNA from 1 species